rnacentral:rRNA from 1 species
GACGGAGGAUGCAAGCGUUAUCCGGAAUGAUUGGGCGUAAAGCGUCCGCAGGUGGCAGUUCAAGUCUGCUGUCAAAGACCGGGGCUUAACUUCGGAAAGGCAGUGGAAACUGAACAGCUAGAGUAUGGUAGGGGCAGAGGGAAUUCCUGGUGUAGCGGUGAAAUGCGUAGAGAUCAGGAAGAACAUCGGUGGCGAAGGCGCUCUGCUGGACCAUAACUGACACUCAGGGACGAAAGCUAUGGGAGCGAAUGGG